AAAAACUAAAGAAAGACCGCUCCAGCUAGAAAAUUGACACGCUAUUUCGGAAGCUGUCCCAGAAUGAGAAUAUAUUCACUGAAGUUAGUCAGUCUGGUCCUACUGUUAGUUCAGUCCUAGAAGUAGAUGUCAGCUUACCUACAGCCUGUAAACAUGUUACAGCUGAAUUAAGUGAAGCUACUGGUAUGCUCGGAGUAUCUAAUUUUUAUUCUAGUGUGGAACAAAACAUUUCAGUUACAAUUUCUGGUUUUGUUGUGACACAAAGCAGAGACACUCACAAACAACGAACUAAAGUAAGUGCUACAUGUAGUACUCAACAAUCGGAGGGAGGAGGAAUUUAAAACCAAAUCUUGCCGACUUUCCAGCGUACUUACAACAAAGUAUGAAAGACAUUAUAAAUGGCUUUUCUUUAGUGCAUCCAAGAAUGUAUAUUGUUGUAGGUAUUGUGAAAUGUGUGGGGGAUCCCUUGUCAACAUCUACCUUUAUUCUUGGAACAAUUCUUGGAAGCCAUCCAAAUAGAAAAUUAUGGACAUUUGGAUUUGCAUGCAGAGUCUCUUCGUAAAUGUUUAAAGAUGAAAACAUCAGAAGUACAACCGACUGUCCUUCAAUAACUACUACGAAGACCCAAAAGUGAGGAGAUGAACAGAACAUUUAUGUUUACGCUCAUUAAUUCUGCCUUUUUUGCAAUUAGAAAAUAUUGGACAAUAAACAGCCUAGGAGAUAUUCUUAAUUUCUUUCACUUUCAGAAAUGCCCAAGUGCUUUGAACUUAAUGGCAAAUCACCCAUCAGUGACUUACAUUUCUUCAACUUCCGUCAAAGACAUUGUUCUUUUUUAUUAACGCUAGUCUUGAGAAAUCACUCUCCUACAACAAUAAGAAAUUCACCUCAUAUGGGUUUACUAGCAGAUGAGUCCACAUAUGAGGCCAACAGAACCCAUUUAGCAAUACUGAUAAGAUGUCUAGAUACAGAUAAAACCAUAAAAGAUCAUUUUUUAGGGAUGAUCAAUGUGAAGAAUACUGAUGCAGCAACUUAAAUGAGUGAAAUUGAGAGAUUUUUGAUUUCUGAAGAGAUAUAUAUAUAAAAAAUUCUGUUAGUUGGAUCUGAUGGGUGUAACACCAUGAGUGGUGAAAAUACAGGUCUCCAGCGCCGAUUUAGACAAGUGAUGCCUCACAUUUUGUACAUCAAUUAAAGAAACCAUCGUCUGGCACUCUGUGUCAAACACUUGAUGAGAUAUUUUCCUGUACUAGAGGAUGUAGAUCUAGCUCUUCUGGCCAUAUAUAAGCUGUUUAACAAUUCACUUCAAAAGUUUGCUGUUUUUAAAGAUGUACAAGCUAGUUAUGCAGAGAAAGAGUUGGUCUUAAGACGAGCUGCAGUUACAAGAUGGUUAUCACAUUGAGAUGAAUGCAAAAGAGUCAUCCAAAGAUCUGUUCUGAUAAUUGACACACUUGAUGAACUCUUGAAAAAGGGAGCCUGAAAUACUUGAUGUCCGCGAUUUCAUUAUAAACAAGAAUACUGUUGCAGUUAUUCUUGUUUUAUGUGACAUGCUUCAACCAGUUUCCAUCUUUUGCAAGUAUCUUCAAGGAUCUGUUGAUUUCAGUAUGGUGACAAUAAAGCUGAAGGACCUCACUGAUUCACUUCACAACCUUAUUGAAAGAUUUGGGGGAACUCUUACCAAUCAUGAUGACAGCAUUUGCCUUGAAGAAUGAAAUAAAUUUUUUGAAGAAAUUGAUGAGAGAACUUUUAUACAAGGAGAUUAAGGUAAUAAUUAUUAUAUAUGACAGUUCAGAGAGUCACUAUUAAGUGGUAAUAGAAACUAUUAAUAUUUAUUACAUGUUUGAAUAUGAGUUAUAAUCAAGGAC